rnacentral:rRNA from 1 species
CACGUAGUUAGCCGGAGCUUCCUCCUCUGCUACCGUCAUCAUCUUCACAGAGGACAGAGGUUUACAAUCCGAAAACCGUCUUCCCUCACGCGGCGUUGCUGGUUCAGGGUUUCCCCCAUUGACCAAUAUCCCUUACUGCUGCCUCCCGUAGGAGUCUGGGCCGUGUCUCAGUCCCAAUAUGGCCGUCCAACCUCUCAGUCCGGCUACCGAUCGUCGGCUUGGUGGGCCGUUACCCCACCAACUACCUAAUCGGACGCGAGCCCAUCUUUCAGCGGAUUGCUCCUUUGAUUAUCCUACCAUGCGAUAAGAUAAUGUCAUGCGUAUUAGCGUUCGUUACCAAACGUUAUCCCCUCUGAAAGGCAGGUUGCUCACGCGUUACUCACCCGUCCGCCCACUAAGAUAUCCAAGUAUUCAUUACCGAAGUUACUUCAUCGAGCGAAUAUCUACCGUUCGACUUGCAUUCGUAUUACGGCACGCCGCCAGUCCGUUCGUCCUCGUAC